UUUACUCCUACGGGAGGCAGCAGUGGGGAAUAUUGCACAAUGGGCGAAAGCCUGAUGCAGCGACGCCGCGUGAGGGAUGACGGCCUUCGGGUUGUAAACCUCUUUCAGCAGGGAAGAAGCGAAAGUGACGGUACCUGCAGAAGAAGCGCCGGCUAACUACGUGCCAGCAGCCGCGGUAAUACGUAGGGCGCGAGCGUUGUCCGGAAUUAUUGGGCGUAAAGAGCUCGUAGGCGGCUUGUCACGUCGGUUGUGAAAGCCCGGGGCUUAACCCCGGGUCUGCAGUCGAUACGGGCAGGCUAGAGUUCGGUAGGGGAGAUCGGAAUUCCUGGUGUAGCGGUGAAAUGCGCAGAUAUCAGGAGGAACCACCGGUGGCGAAGGCGGAUCUCUGGGCCGAUACUGACGCUGAGGAGCGAAAGCGUGGGGAGCGAACAGGAUUAGAUACCCUGGUAGUCCACGCCGUAAACGGUGGGCACUAGGUGUGGGCGACAUUCCACGUCGUCCGUGCCGCAGCUAACGCAUUAAGUGCCCCGCCUGGGGAGUACGGCCGCAAGGCUAAAACUCAAAGGAAUUGACGGGGGCCCGCACAAGCGGCGGAGCAUGUGGAUUAAUUCGACGCAACGCGAAGAACCUUACCAAGGCUUGACAUACACCGGAAAACCCUGGAGAGCACG
rnacentral:rRNA from 1 species